rnacentral:rRNA from 1 species
AACGUAGGGGACAAGCGUUAUCCGGAUUUACUGGGCGUAAAGCGCCCGUAGGCGGCUUUGUAAGUUGGACGUGAAAGCUCCCGGCUUAACUGGGAGAGGCCGUUCAAAACUGUAGAGCUAGAGUGAGGCAGAGGAGUGCGGAGUUCCCGGUGUAGUGGUGGAAUGCGUAGAUAUCGGGAGGAACACCAGUGGCGAAAGCGGCACUCUGGGCCUAAACUGACGCUGAGGGGCGAAAGCGUGGGGAGCGAACGGG